UACGUAGGGUGCAAGCGUUAAUCGGAAUUACUGGGCGUAAAGCGUGCGCAGGCGGCUUUGCAAGACAGAUGUGAAAUCCCCGGGCUUAACCUGGGAAUUGCAGUCGAUACUACUCAGCUAGAGUAUGGGAGAGGGCAGUGGAAUUCCCGGUGUAGCGGUGAAAUGCGUAGAUAUCGGGAGGAACAUCAGUGGCGAAGGCGGCUGCCUGGCCCAAUACUGACACUCAGGUGCGACAGCGUGGGGAGCAAACAGG
rnacentral:rRNA from 1 species